rnacentral:miRNA from 7 species
AGGGCCCCCCCUCAAUCCUGU